CCGGGAUAGCUCAGUUGGUAGAGCAGAGGACUGAAAAUC
rnacentral:tRNA from 11 species